GACUAAUGAUGAAAAUAGCCAAAUCUGAGCAUCAGAGAAGACCUCUUAGUCCACCUGACAUAUGAUCUCAGUAGUACUGAAA
ensembl:snoRNA